GUGACUGGCUCGGGCUUCAAAUCAAGUGGCGGGGAC
rnacentral:tRNA from 1 species